rnacentral:tRNA from 1 species
GCCCAGGUGGCGGAAUUGGUAGACGCGCUAGAUUCAGGGUCUAGUGCUGGCAACAGCGUGGAGGUUCGAGUCCUCUCCUGGGCACAA